rnacentral:rRNA from 1 species
GGACGAACGCUGGCGGCAUGCCUAACACAUGCAAGUCGAACGGAUCGAAUUGAAGGAAGUUUCGGAUGGAAUUCAAUUAGGUUAGUGGCGGACGGGUGAGUAACGCGUGGGUAACCUGCCCAUAAGUCUGGGAUAACUCGGGAAACCGGAGCUAAUACCGGAUACAUUCUUUGGUUCGCAUGAAUUGAAGAAGAAAGAUGGCCUCUCAUAGAAGCUAUCGCUAAUGGAUGGACCCGCGUCUGAUUAGCUAGGUUGGUGGGGUAAAGGCUCACCAAGGCGACGAUCAGUAGCCGGCCUGAGAGGGUGAACGGCCACACUGGGACUGAGACACGGCCCAGACUCCUACGGGAGGCAGCAGUGGGGAAUCUUCCGCAAUGGGCGCAAGCCUGACGGAGCAAUGCCGCGUGAGUGAAGAAGGCCUUCGGGUUGUAAAGCUCUGUCCUAAGGGAAGAAUGUAUCUUAUGUGAAUAAUGUAAGGUAAUGACGGUACCUUGGGAGGAAGCCCCGGCUAACUACGUGCCAGCCGCCGC